rnacentral:rRNA from 1 species
AGAUGUGUAUAAGAGACAGAGUCUUAAUAGGGCGACUAGUUGCUGGGUGUAGACCCGAAACCGAGUGAUCUAUCCAUGGCCAGGAUGAAGGUGCGGUAAAACGCAUUGGAGGUCCGAACCCACGCAUGUUGCAAAAUGCGGGGAUGAGCUGUGGAUAGGGGUGAAAGGCUAAACAAACUCGGAGAUAGCUGGUUCUCCCCGAAAACUAUUUAGGUAGUGCCUCGAGUAUGAGACUGAUGGGGGUAAAGCACUGUUAUGGC